AGCAAUAUUCCCAAACAUAAAUAUAAAGUGAUAUCAUCUUUCCUAACCCAAAACGACUAACAAACACAAAGUAAAAACUCGUCUUGACAGAGUGUUUUGGCAGGUCUCCUGCAACCUUCCUCUAAAGGUACCUUGAUAUAGGGGCUUGUCACACGUUAGUUUUCAUGUCAUGAUCAUGGAAGAAGACCAAGAUGAGGUGAUGCAUUCGUUGUAAUGCCAAUGCAUUUCAAAGAUCGGAUCAGUGAUUUACCAGAAAAGUGUACUCCAGGUGAAAUAGCAGGGGACCUGUAGCCAGCUGUAAGACUCAUGGCUUGUAUGGAAGUGAGCAGCCACGGGUGAAAACAGCUAAGGAGUCCUGGCCAGUGGAGAAAACCACAAGGAGUCAUGGCUACUGGAGAAAAUUGUGAUGGUAGAGAAAACAAUCGUGGCUUCCAGGUCAUUGCUCAAAAACAGCCAUCUGGUUCUUACAGGAUUCUUGAGGAUGAGGAAGAAGAAGAUCAAUGCUGUUAAUUACCAUGUGCAAUAUCAUAGUAAAUCCCAAUGAAUACUAUGCAAAGGACUGUCUGGAUUUUUUUUUCUCCAUUCAAACAAAAGAUACCACAAGGAAAUUACAUCUUCCGAGAAGUAUACGCAUGAAGACUCAACUGCCAGACAAAAGAAGAUUGAGCAGAACUUGCAUAUUGAUCCUCGAACCCAAACCGAAAAAAGCAUGAAGCUAGGUUAUGCUGUUUAUCAGUUUGUAAAAGAGUAAUUUCGCAAUUUUUUUUUAGCAAUGCCAAUAGAUGUAAUGAGUUGUGAAAUUCACCUCAAUUUAUCUUAUUAGAGACCUCAGAA